UUGCCCUAGUAACGGCGAGUGAAGCGGCAACAGCUCAAAUUUGAAAUCUGGCUCUCGGGCCCGAGUUGUAAUUUGUAGAGGAUACUUUUGAUGCGGUGCCUUCCGAGUUCCCUGGAACGGGACGCCAUAGAGGGUGAGAGCCCCGUCUGGUUGGAUGCCAAAUCUCUGUAAAGUUCCUUCGACGAGUCGAGUAGUUUGGGAAUGCUGCUCUAAAUGGGAGGUAUAUGUCUUCUAAAGCUAAAUACCGGCCAGAGACCGAUAGCGCACAAGUAGAGUGAUCGAAAGAUGAAAAGCACUUUGAAAAGAGAGUUAAAAAGUACGUGAAAUUGUUGAAAGGGAAGCGUUUAUGACCAGACUUGGGCUUGGUUGAUCAUCUGGGGUUCUCCCCAGUGCACUCUUCCAGUCCAGGCCAGCAUCAGUUUUCGCCGGGGGAUAAAGACUUCGGGAAUGUGGCUCUCUUCGGGGAGUGUUAUAGCCCGUUGUGUAAUACCCUGGCGGGGACUGAGGUUCGCGCAUCUGCAAGGAUGCUG
rnacentral:rRNA from 1 species